rnacentral:rRNA from 1 species
UACGUAGGAUGCAAGCGUUGUUCGGAAUUACUGGGCGUAAAGAGUACGUAGGCGGUUUGAUAAGUCUGAUAUUAAAGACUGAGGCUUAACCUCAGGAGUGUAUCGGAAACUGUCAGACUAGAGGACAAUAGAGGAAGUCGGAAUUCUCAGUGUAGCGGUGAAAUGCGUAGAUAUUGGGAAGAACACCGGUGGCGAAAGCGGACUUCUGGGUUGUUACUGACGCUGAGGUACGAAAGCGUGGGGAGCAAACGGG